GUCUGGAAAGUGCGCUCCGGUAGGGCUGACCCGAGGCGCGCCUGCAGACACGCGGAGAAGGUGGGCGCUUCAGAGAGUCCCUUUCCUAGACACUGGGUGCUAGGUCCGACUAAGAGCCCACGGGAGAGUGAGCCUCCGUGGGUGACUGAAAAGCUGAGAAGACCAGCGUGGUGGCUAAAGGAGACCCUGCUGGGUGGGCGGCGCUCGGCCUCUUCCGGUUUCGGAGGCGUGUGAGGCCUCUUGUCUCCCGCCGGUGCGUGCCGUCCCGGCUCCCGGACCCGGAAGGGGCGGCGGCGGACCGGCGAUAGUUGCGAAGAUCCUCCCUCUCCACGUGCUACCUGGGCUCCCUGCUGGUUCCGCGGCUCCGCACUUGGGCUUUGGCUACUGUCUGCAGCACUUUGCCUGACCGGCCUUCCAGGACGUGCUUCGGACGCACUCAGGUCCAGAUGAAGCGGCAAGCAGAGGCUACCAAGAGAAAGCACCAAGUGUCCAGUGAUGCUCCACCAGCAAAACGGAGGAGUGAAAUAUCCUCUGUUUUGGCCAAGAAAGCCAGUGAUAAAGAAACUCAGAGAACAUUUAAAGGGAGUACACACAAAACGUUUCCUCCAAAGAAGUAUUUGGACAGUAUAGGCAAUGGAAGGCAAGAGGAGAAGCCAUGCAUCAAGACUUCAUCGCUGUUUAAAAACAACCCUGAGAUCCCAGAACUCCACAGCACUGUAGUGAAGCAGGCUCGAGAGCAAGUGUUCUCUCCAGAAGCUUUCCAGGAGCUGGACCUCCACCCACAUCUAAUUUCUACAAUAAAUACAGUCUUAAAAAUGUCCAGUAUGACCAGGGAGCUGCUGCUGUUACUUGGGUGCCCGCAAGCCUCCUUUUGCUUUUCUGUGUGGAAAUCUUACCUGUGUUACAUGCUCCUAAUUCAAUGCUACACAGCAGGCAGGAGGUGUUCAGAAGCAGAGUAUCCCAGUGCUGCUGGAAGGCAGAGAUGCCCUAGUGCGGUCCCAGACGGGCUCAGGUAAAACUCUUGCCUAUUGCGUCCCUGUGGUCCAGUCUCUUCAAGCACUGACAUCAAAAAUACAGCGCAGUGAUGGACCGUAUGCUUUGGUCCUAGUGCCCACCAGAGAGUUGGCUCUGCAAAGCUUUGACACUGUUCAGAAGCUACUUAAGCCAUUCACCUGGAUUGUUCCUGGAGUGUUGAUGGGUGGAGAGAAGAGGAAAUCGGAAAAAGCUAGACUCCGAAAAGGCAUAAAUAUCCUUAUCUCCACUCCUGGCCGUCUAGUGGAUCAUAUAAAAUCCACAAAGAACCUUCACUUUAACCGAAUACGGUGGCUGAUUGUGGAUGAAGCAGACAGGAUCUUGGAUUUGGGUUUUGAGAAGGACAUCACAGUGAUUCUGAAUGCUGUCAAUGCUGAGUGUCAGAAACGGCAGAAUGUCCUCCUGUCAGCGACACUCACAGAAGGUGUAACACGGCUAGUUGAUAUCAGUUUGCACAAUCCAGUCAGUAUCUCUGUCCUGGACAAAAACUGCAACCAGCCCAAUCCUAAGGAAGUUGCUAGUAUCCAGCUCAACAGCUUUGCCAUACCAGAGAGUCUCGACCAGCAUGUGGUGUUGGUUCCCAGCAAGCUACGUCUUGUCUGCCUUGCAGCCUUCAUCCUGCAAAAGUGCAAGUUUGAGAAGAACCAGAAGAUGAUUGUCUUUUUCUCAAGUUGUGAAUUGGUGGAGUUCCACUACAGCCUCUUCCUUCACACCCUGCUUUGCCACUCAGGGACCCCUACUUCAGAGCAUCUGCCAUCUGCCUCCUGGCCACUGAAAUUCCUUCGGCUGCAUGGCAACAUGGAACAGGAGGAAAGAACAUCCGUGUUUCAUGAGUUCUCCCAUUCUGAAACGGGAGUCUUGCUCUGCACGGAUGUUGCAUCUCGAGGCUUGGAUCUCCCACAAGUCACCUGGAUUGUUCAGAGUACAUUCACCGCAUCGGAAGAACUGCCCGGAUUGGCUGUCAUGGGAGCAGCCUGCUCAUUUUGGCUCCUUCGGAGGCAGAAUAUGUCAACUCGUUGGCUUCUCACAAAAUCAAUGUUGGUGAGAUUAAGAUGGAAGAUAUUUUGGCUGUCCUGGCAAAGGAUGAUUGUUUUAAAAGGAGACAAAGGGGAGCCCAGAAAUCCCGUGCCAGUGGCCCCCAGGAAAUCCGAGAACGAGCCACAGUAUUGCAGACAGUGUUUGAAGAUUAUGUGCACUCCAGUCAGAGGAUGGUCUCCUGGGCUAAGAAAGCCCUGCAGUCCUUCAUCCGAGCCUAUGCCACCUACCCCAAGGAGCUGAAGUCCAUCUUCCAUGUCCGAGCCCUACACCUUGGGCACGUGGCUAAGAGUUUUGGACUAAGAGAUGCUCCUAGAAACCUCAGUGUCUCUGCUGUGAAGAAGGCAAGCUUAAAAAGGCCUCACCCUCGGAGGAAGACGCAGAGGAAGCAGCACCUUGUGCCUGCUGAAGUCCUGCACUCAGAACACUCAAGUGGGCUGGAGGGUGGUGCCACGAAGUGCAGAAAGCAAGGCAAACAACAGGGCCUUCAGGUGGCACCCAGCAAGCCGGGGCCGUGGAGAGAAUGAAGCUGCUUCUUCAUCCAGAAGGCUCACCACCAGCCAGCAAGCUUCUUUUGGUUGUUUUUUAGUUGCUACAGGACCGGGUCAGGGUGGAUCCAACAUGGCCUCGAGGCUUUAGAUUGAUGUCCUGUUCUUAUCAUGAAAGCUUCUGAAAAAUAACUGGCACCGCUCCCUGAAUACAGACUCUCAAGAGGGCAGAUCCUCGCCUGUUGGAGGAGGAGCCCCGAACGAAACAAAGUAGGCAGGGGCCGGCCGGUGCUAGACAGUCACCCACCUUUGGCCAAGCUUCUUGUGAGAUUGCUCAUGGACAGCAAGCAUUCUGUGUGUCAGCCUGGAUGAGUGGAGCUCCUGGCAAGCUUGCCAGAUUAAGCAGCCACAUGUGUAUCGUAUGAGUGUUGUAGGAUAAAAGAUGUUAAAAACUGGAAUUGAACUUUGUACAGAGGGAUAAAGUAUUUGUUGAAUAGUUAUUUUCUUAGUCCAUAUGUUCUGUUAGAAAGGCCCAAGGGCUUUUACCUUGGGUUAAAACCUGGCCAUGUUGGAAGCCACUUCCUUCUUCCUUAAGCACAGCAUAGCACCAUGUGCGCUGCCUCUCCUUCCCUAUCCACAGACUACUCGCCUUCUCUGGGCUAAUUGAUUGACUUGUGCCUUUAUAUUAUUUGCCUUUGAAGUCAAAAGGCCUUUUGCCUUUUGGCUCUUCAGGAUCUGAGGUCUUUGUGUGUGACCUAGACCCAGAAUCCACACACCAUUGUGUUUCCGAGAGGUUUGAAAGAGGACCCCUGGAGCGUAUCGAUUUCUCAAUAAAUGUAAGACUUGGACACUACAGA